GCCCGCGACUAGUGAGACGGGAAGCGCCUGGGACAAAACUCUCCUAGCCACGGGCCGCGGAGGCUGUUUUGGAGGCAAGUCGCUGUUUUUCGGUACACUGCUGGUUAACUGCUCCAAAAGAGGACAACCGAGGAUCUGGAGUGAGCAACGAAGCAGAGAAAAGGAGAGGGCCUUUCGGACAAGGGACUGGUUGGUUUGUUCUUGUGCAGAGAACCCACUCGGUCACUCUCAAGCGGUAGCUGUUUGGUUUGUCCUUUUGCAGUGUAUGCGGAGCCCCACUGUGUAACACGCACGUACUUCUAGCACAGAUCCUGCACUUCAGGAGCAACUAAACUUGUUGCAAAUAAAGUGCUGUCCGAGUUCAGAAGAGGAAGACAUUAGGAGGUACCAUAUCUGAAUUAAAGUACAAGUCCCAUCUUAAUGAAGAAAAUGGAUUGCUGAAGCAAAAAGUGUAUUCUGACUGGACACGGUGGCUCAUGCUUGUAAUCCCAGCACUUUUGGAGGCCGAG